rnacentral:rRNA from 1 species
UGACCUCAACUCAGUCGUGAUUACCCGCUGAAUUUAAGCAUUAACUA